rnacentral:rRNA from 1 species
UUUAACUCCGGUUGAUCCUGCCGGACCCCACUGCUAUCGGGAUGGGACUAAGACAUGCUAGUCGUGCGCUUCCAAGCCACGGUGGAAGCGCGGCGCACAGCUCAGUAGCACGUGGCUAACCUGCCCUUGGGACGGAAAUAACCCCGGGAAACUGGGGCUAAUUUCCGAUAGGUGAAGACUCCUGGAAUGGGUCUUCGCCGAAAGGGCGUCUAGACCAUGCUUCUAGACGCUGCCCAAGGAUGGGGCCGCGGCCGAUCAGGUUGUUGGUGAGGUAACGGCUCACCAAGCCUUUGACCGGUGCGGGCCGUGAGAGCGGGAGCCCGGAGAUGGGCACUGAGACAAGGGCCCAGGCCCUACGGGGCGCAGCAGUCGCGAAACCUCCGCAAUACACGAAAGUGUGACGGGGCCAUCCCGAGUGCCGUCCGCUGAGGACGGCUUUUCCCCAGUGUACACAGCUGGGGGAAUAAGGAGAGGGCAAGCCUGGUGUCAGCCGCCGCGGUAAUACCAGCUCUCCGAGUGGUGGGGACGCUUAUUGGGCCUAAAGCAUCCGUAGCCGGCUGGGCAAGUCCUCCGUUAAAUCCAACGAUUCAAUCGUUGGACUGCGGGGGAUACUGUCCAGCUUGGGGGCGGGAGAGGCCGACGGUAUUCCCGGGGUAGGGGUGAAAUCCUAUAAUCCCGGGAGGACCACCAGUGGCGAAGGCUGUCGGCUAGAACGCGCCCGACGGUGAGGGAUGAAAGCUGGGGGAGCGAACCGGAUUAGAUACCCGGGUAGUCCCAGCCGUAAACGAUGCGGGCUAGGUGUUGGCACGGCUACGAGCCGUGCCAGUGCCGCAGGGAAGCCGUUAAGCCCGCCGCCUGGGGAGUACGGCCGCAAGGCUGAAAC